ensembl:lncRNA
GACGGAAAUGCAAGGCUUUCUUCUGGUGAAGGAUUAACACCCCUCCCCUCCCUCGGGCGGUGGGUGUGAAAAGGGUUAUGUAAAUCAUUGCUACUUUUAGGAGCUGGCAGUCCCUCAACUUGAGCGAGGACGUAGGGAAAGCGAAUCCGGGAAGGAGGCAAUUCACCUCAAACCUUUCACAGAUUCACGAAAUGAACAUACCAUUGAGAUGUUCUUCUGUAAGAAAGGACAGAUCACUUUGCAGCAAUUCACCCCGUGACGACUUGAAGCAGAUAGUUCUCGCGAGUUUUAGAUCCUUUUUUUCUUUCUUUCUUUUUUUUUUUUCAAAGAUGAAUCUCUGUUGAGAUGGCAAUGUGUGCCUCGCUCUGAAGGAAAACCACAUAAGCCAGGUCUUGAAGGUCUUGAAGGCGGAUGCACGCCCUUUUCUUCUGUGCAAGAUUUUCCCCUUCCCAGGGUAAGGCGAGAGAAGAGGAAGUGAAAACAGGAGGGGAGAAUUUUCAUACAACACCUCUUGCCUUGUAGACAACAACCAAAAACCCCCUGGGUUGUGAACAGAGCCUCGUACUUUCUACAGCUCCUCUCCUUCCCUGGAUUACCUCCCUCAGUUCUCAGAGCUCCCCCAGGUGGGUGGCACAAUUCUGAGCUGCCCUCAUUGCUGUUCCCGAGCUCUGGGGCGGGAGGCAAGGGCUGGAACUGCCUAUUGCGGGAGGAGGUAAAUCUUCUGGAGAGGCUCCGGGGCUUUCUGAGCUUCUCUGGGGAGUCUGGGUGGACGCUUCUCCAUACCUGGUGGAGAAAGACCAGAGAGAACCAGGAUCUGAGCUGUCUUCUGGAGGAGCCCUCCAGCUUCGGGCUGCAGCAGAGCUGGGCUCUCCAGCACUGAGUUACCAUCUGCUGCGCUCUCCCAGCCACGGGACUCUCCAGGGUGCUGGGGUUCCCCUACCCCAAAGCUCAGGACCUCUGAGAGCUCCUGAUCGCUGUAUUUGCUGCAGAGAAAGCCGCAGAGCCUCAGCAGGCAUGUCUCAACCUCCCUAGUUGCUUCACUAAAUCUCUGCAACAGCUCGUUCCUACGUCUCUUGUCUCCUAUGUCAGGAGGACCGAGGGCCUGCCUUACCUCCCAGCGGUGCCUCUCUGUCUCCUACCACCCUUUCGGAUCCAGCUCAGACACUGCACUUCCAAAGGCUUCCCUGGUGUCCAGGAAUGUUUGCUUCUCUCUUCUGGCUCGUGGGACCAUGAGCUCCAGGGACCACACGCUCCAGGGACCACGCCUGUGACUCCCGCCAGAGGUGGUCAGUGCAUUUCUCUUCUCUUCCCCCGAGGGCCCAGGUCCCCCUCAUCUCCAAGGGUACCCAUCACAGGGCUCCCUUUUAAACUAUCGGGAAGCACUGAAUGAAUGAACGCACGAAGACCCAUCACCGGCUCCUCCUGCCUUUGCCUACCAUCUUCUUUCUGGAGAAGAGUCAGUUUGUCUGCAUCUGAGAAGAGGUGGGGGAGAGAGCCAGCAAGUCCUCCCCCUUCUGCUCCAGGAUCUAGGAGACAGGGAAUCUCAUCGGGGGAGGGUUAGGGGCCCCCAGCCGGGGUGACUCGGAAUAACAGAGCAGUUUGCUGGUCUGGGCAGAAGGAUGGGGCAGAAAUCCUUACCAACAGGGCCCAGGCACUGGAGGAAUCUGACCGA